GUGGGUUGUGGGUUAUUGUCUAUGUGUUAGUUGCUUGUGUCUGCACUAUUAUAUAUAGCGUCACGUUCGUUUUGUUGUUUGUAUUAGUUUGGUUAGGUUUUCUUCUUAAAUAAAUAGAAGAAUGUAUUCA